rnacentral:rRNA from 1 species
UACGGAGGGAGCUAGCGUUGUUCGGAAUUACUGGGCGUAAAGCGCACGUAGGCGGCUUUGUAAGUUAGAGGUGAAAGCCCUGGGCUCAACCCAGGAAGUGCACUCGAAACUGUCAGGCUUGAAUAUGGAAGAGGGUCGCGGAAUUCCCGGUGUAGAGGUGAAAUUCGUAGAUAUCGGGAGGAACACCAGUGGCGAAGGCGGCGACCUGGGCCAAUAUUGACGCUGAGGUGCGAAAGCGUGGGGAGCAAACAGG